rnacentral:rRNA from 1 species
CGGGGAUAACAGGCUUAUCUCCCCCAAGAGUUCACAUCGACGGGGAGGUUUGGCACCUCGAUGUCGGCUCAUCGCAUCCUGGGGCUGUAGUCGGUCCCAAGGGUUGGGCUGUUCGCCCAUUAAAGCGGUACGCGAGCUGGGUUCAGAACGUCGUGAGACAGUUCGGUCCCUAUCCGUCGUGGGCGUAGGAAAUUUGAGAGGAGCUGUCCUUAGUACGAGAGGACCGGGAUGGACAUACCUCUGGUGUACCAGUUGUCGUGCCAACGGCAUAGCUGGGUAGCUAUGUAUGGACGGGAUAAGUGCUGAAAGCAUCUAAGCAUGAAGCCCCCCUCAAGAUGAGAUUUCCCAACUUCGGUUAUAAGAUCCCUCGAAGAUGACGAGGUUAAUAGGUUCGAGGUGGAAGCGUGGUGACACGUGGAGCUGACGAAUACUAAUCGAUCGAAGACUUAAUCAAUAUU